GUUCAAAUAUGAAUCUUCUCAGCUGAGCAAAAUAAACAUGGCGGCGAGGUCACGUCCUGGAGGCGGGGAGUGAGACUUACCCAGCAAUAAUACACGCACCUUGCAUCAAGUGGGCUUGGAUAUUGUUCACCGCAGCAACAAACGGUAGAGGAAGUUGAUGAGUUCGCCACAAGGGAGCCCAGACCCCGCCGGGGCCGAGGAGGGCGCCAGUAAUGAGACUAUAGGUAAUGAGGAAGAGGCUGGAGCGCAAUCAGAGCAGGGAGGGUCCUCUUGGCCACAGCCACAAGACACGGAUAUGAAGCGAGCAGCUGCCCAACUCAUAGAAAAAUACUACUUCCAGCUGACAGUUGGAUGUGGUAAUGCUCACUGUGAUAACCCCAACUGUGCCUCCUCAGGCAAGGUUGGUACCCUGACAAGUAAUGAGGCAGCAGGGAAGGCACUCCAACUAUGUGCUGCCCGUGCCAGACUGUGUGAGGUGGUGGGUGCCAAGGUUCGCCGGGCUAGUCAGUCCCUGACAUUGGAGGCAGGUGUUGCCUCCUCUGUGUCUGGGAAGGGCCACAGCUCUGCCUCAGGAAACACUGCCACAUGUUCCCUGGUGCAGGAUGUCAACAUGGCCAGUGUGUCCACUCCCAGCUCUGCCCUGCCCCCUCUCUCCCCCAUGGUGGAUGGUCUGAACACAGCCACGGGCCUCACCGAGGAGACACUUGUCCACACUAUAGCUGAGUGUCGCAGUUCUAACAAUUAUGCUAAACUUAGACGAUUGUUGUGGGCAGUAUUUUCAAAUGAAAUUGCCCUCAGACACAGCUUUAUACAGAGAUCUGAACCUGUAGAGAAAAAGAGUGAAUUGCUAGUUAGGAACAAAAGUAAAGACAAUGAGGGUGCCCAGAGCAAGGAAGAGAUCCGAGCACAGGAGGAAGACCUGGACAAGGAUCUGGACAGUGCCGAGGACACCGCCUGUGAGGGGGAAGCAGCGGCAUGUGCCGAGGCGACCCCUGAGGGAGACACCAAAGACCCCUGUAAAGAUUUUGCCACCACUCCAAAUUCAACUGCCUUAGAUAUCAGUGAGGUGCGGCGGGCAUACGCGGCACUGUUUGAAUGUCCUGAGGCGGAAUUCAGCAGCACCCUGACCAAUGCAGUGGUGCAGCUCCUGUCGGACUCUCUGGGCAUCCAGCUGCGGGUGUACAAGGAUGCCUUUUCUGCCAUACCCAACAACAUCAACAUUUUUAUCAUCCUGUUGGAGAGUCCAGCACUCAACACCACCGACUUCAUUGAGGGCGUUAUGCCCAGCCUGUGCCGCACCAUUGGCCAGCUGCCUGAGAGGGAUCAAGCACACCUCACCCGCCACCUGGCCUCCUGGGAGGCUCCCCGCCUACACCGUCUGCUGGAGAGCCUUCACCAGCUCAUCACCAUCCGCCUCCUCACCACUGAAUUUAUACAGGACUUCACCAUCAAUGAUGAGGAAGCCAUCACUUCUGCCACACAAGUCAUGAAGCUACUCUUCUACGCUAGCAUCCUUGGUGGCAAGUUGGACACCCCACUCCUACGGGAUCUUCCCGCAGAGGAUCCCAGCCUGGAGCCAUCCACCCACGAGGAUCCCUUCAGUAGUGUAGGCAAGGACUGGGCUGCCCGUCCCCCACCCAAAGACUCCUUAGGCUCGCUGUUGGGUAUACACGUCCUGGAUGCCCGAACACCCCUCGUGCCCUUGUCUGAGUUCUAUGAUGACUUCUUGAGUGACCAACUGGAGAUGGACCGGGACUUUGCACUGUACAAGGCGGGCAGCAGCGACAAGUUCAGCUUCCUCUACUACCCCUUCAUCCUGACGCCAGCCACCAAGGCACUGGGGCUCUACUAUGACAACAGGAUACGCAUGUACUCUGAGCGCCGCAUGAGCAUCUACCAGCAGUUGAUCGAGGGAAUGGCAGCCAACCCCUACCUGAAGCUGAGGGUGCGGCGAGACCAUAUCAUUGACGAUGCCUUAGUGGAGCUGGAGAUGGUGGCACUGGACAAUCCUGGAGACCUAAAGAAGCAGAUGGUAGUGGAAUUUGAGGGGGAGCAGGGCAUUGAUGAGGGAGGCUUGAGCAAAGAGUUCUUUCAGCUGAUUGUGGAGCAGAUCUUCAACCCAGAUUAUGCUAUGUUUUGCUUCAAUAAUGAGAGUCGCACAUUCUGGUUCAAUCCAAACUGCUUUGAGAAUGAUGCACAGUUCACGCUGGUGGGCAUCGUGUUGGGCUUGGCCAUCUACAACAACGUGAUCCUGGACGUGCACUUCCCACCCGUCAUGUACAAGAAGCUGUGCAGCAAACCGGGCUCCUUCCAUGAUCUGCGGGACUGGAACACGACGCUGUACCGGAGCCUGGUGGAGUUGCUGGAGUAUGAGGGUGAUGACCUGGAGGAGGUGUUCAUGCAGACCUUCCGUGUGGGCUACCAGGACGUGUUUGGCACCAGCCUCACCCAUGACCUUAAGACUGAUGGUGACAACAUCCUUGUCAGCCAGGCCAGCAAACAUGAGUUCGUGGAGCUGUAUGCUGACUUCCUCCUCAAUAAGAUGGUGGAGCGGCAGUUCCGUGCCUUCCGUCGGGGCUUCAACAUGGUGACGGACGACUCACCGCUGGUCAACCUCUUCAGGCCCGAGGAGCUGGAGCUGCUCAUAUGUGGCUCCCAGCACUACGACUUCAUGGAACUGAUGAAGUCGACUGAGUAUGAUGGUGGCUACACCAGUGAGACCCCCAUUGUGCAGGCCUUCUGGGAGCUGGUGCAUGACAUGACCACUGAGGACAAGAAACGUCUCCUGCAGUUCACCACGGGGUCAGCCAGGGUGCCUGUCGGGGGCCUGGCCAGACUGAAGCUCAUCAUUGCAAGACAUGGCCCGGACUGUGACAGGUUGCCAACUGCUCACACCUGCUUCAACGUUCUCCUUCUUCCGGAAUACUCUAGCAAAGAGAAACUGAGGGAUCGUCUUUACAAGGCCAUCAAGUACGCACAGGGCUUUGGAAUGCUCUGAGGAAAGCCGGUGAGGAGGCACCUGUUGACAAGUGUGUGUCUUUGCUACUUGUCUGUGUUGGAGUGGAAAAUGGAAAAGUGUUUUGCCCAGCCAGAUAUGCCUUGCUUCAGUUCAACAUGAUGCAGAUUAGAAAGUUAAGUUGCCUUGAUGAAAAUCAGUGUACAAAUUAAACGAUAUAUUCUUAUUCAUUGCAAAAUUUGCAUGGCAGAAAAAUACUACCAUGUUAUGACUUGAUAUUUUCCUAUUUUAUAUGAGAGCUGAGAUCCUUUAGUGUUUGUGGCCUUUGCAGGAUAUAAGUGUAUCACUUUAUCACACUUGUGCACUGGCGGCACUGUGCCAUUACUUCAUCGUGGGCUGUUGUGCAUCACGGCAUUGGCUAUUCAAGACGGGCUUUUGUUCCCUGCAGCUAAAUGGAUGCUUCCUUUCUUUAAUGAGCUGAAGUUUUUAAAGUUUCAUUGCAUUUUGCAGAUGUUGCAGUUUACAUUAUGUAGAAUUUUAGACUGUAGAUAAAUAAUUUAAAAUUUUGUUUACUCAUAGGUUCCAUAGACAUGUUAUUUUUUUAAUCCAUUUAGACCUCAUAGGCAUUUAAAAGUUCCGAAAAUGCUCAGAUUUUUAAGUAAAUGCUAGAAUAUCACCACCUAUGAAGAAAUCUGUAGCACCUGGUACUAUUGUGAAUAAAUUCAACUAAAGAUUUGUACAUAACAUAGCGUGGCGAGAUGAAGGUGUGCGAUGUCACCUGUUGUUACAUAGAAGGCUGUGCUGUGCUACAGUGUAACCAGACCAUAGAUAGAAUCCACACGCAUGUAACCGUUUUGUAUAAUUUGUCCAUACUUUGAGAUCCCAAGCAUUACCUACUUACUGAUCCUGAGGCUAAUGUACCAAGCAGCACUGUUUUGCUGCUGAAGGUUUAUACAUUUUGUAUGUGAUACUUGAAUGAUAAGUGUAAAUAAAGACAGCAAAAUUCACGCAUAAA